CAAAUUUCGUUUGGGUUUUUCUGUAAGGUUUUGUGGAAAACCUGAAUGAACUUUUUA
ensembl:miRNA